rnacentral:rRNA from 1 species
GACGAACGCUGGCGGCGUGCUUAACACAUGCAAGUCGAACGGUGAACCUCUUCGGAGGGGAUCAGUGGCGAACGGGUGAGUAACACGUGGGCAACCUGCCCCCGGCUCUGGGAUAACUCCAUGAAAUUGGGGCUAAUACCGGAUGUUCACCGCUUCCCGCAUGGGUGGUGGUGGAAAGGGUUUCCGGCUGGGGAUGGGCCCGCGGCCUAUCAGCUUGUUGGUGGGGUAGUGGCCUACCAAGGCGACGACGGGUAGCCGGCCUGGGAGGGGGACCGGCCACACUGGGACUGAGGCACGGCGCAGACGCCUACGGGAGGCAGCGGUGGGGAAUAUUGCGCAAUGGGCGGGAGCCUGACGCAGCGACGCCGCGUGGGGGAUGACGGCCUUCGGGUUGUGAACCUCUUUCAGCGGGGACGAAGCGCAAGUGACGGUACCUGCAGAAGAAGCACCGGCCAACUACGUG